rnacentral:rRNA from 1 species
GACGAACGCUGGCGGCGUGCUUAACACAUGCAAGUCGAACGGUGAAGCCCUUCGGGGUGGAUCAGUGGCGAACGGGUGAGUAACACGUGAGCAACCUGCCCCUGGCUCUGGGACAACCACUGGAAACGGUGGCUAAUACCGGAUACGACCCGCCUCGGCAUCGAGUGUGGGUGGAAAGUUUUUCGGCUGGGGAUGGGCUCGCGGCCUAUCAGCUUGUUGGUGAGGUGAAGGCUCACCAAGGCGACGACGGGUAGCCGGCCUGAGAGGGCGACCGGCCACACUGGGACUGAGACACGGCCCAGACCCCUACGGGAGGCAGCAGUGGGGAAUAUUGCACAAUGGGCGAAAGCCUGAUGCAGCGACGCCGCGUGAGGGAUGACGGCCUUCGGGUUGUAAACCUCUUUCAGCUCCGAAGAAGCGAAAGUGACGGUAGGAGCAGAAGAAGCACCGGCUAACUACGUG